GCCAAUUGGAGAUGGUAUGCAGACCUUUUGGAGAGCGUACAACAAGACUUAUCUGAGGUGAGAACAUUUUAAAAACUUUAUCAUCCAUAAUUUCUCUGUCCUUUACAGUCUAAAAAAUUAUUUAGGCAAAUUUUUCUGACAACUGUACAUGUGUUUAGUAACUAGUUUAGCCAAGAGAAAAUGUGGUGAGAAAUUUAAUACUAAAGCUUCUGUUCUUUAUCUUGUGUUGCAGCAUAUGCCAAACAAUAGUUCUGGAGUCAGUUACUAUAAUGUCCUUCGUUUGUUCUAGUAGUAAUUUCUAAAUUUAGAAACUAUUUCACUUGUUUUCACUAUUGAGAUCUCUAUUUUGAACUCUUGGAAUUUUUGCUAUGGGGAAACUAUGAAUGGCAGAGCUGAAAUUCAAGCUGGAAGUUCUGUUGAGUUCAAGGAGCAAAAGAUCGUGUACUAGGAUUACCAUAAUCUUCUGAGAUUUGUGCACUGACUACUUUGGCAGAAGAUAGGUAAAAAGGUAAAUUUUAUCUUUCAUUUCCUCUCUUCUUCUCCCCCCUUUUUAUUUUGUAGAACUCAGUUUUCUUUGAAAAGUUUAUGGCAGUUUUUUUGGCAGCAAAACUAAUCUUUCUGCUUCUUAUCUCUAAUUUCUCAGCAGAUGGACCAUCACCGUUUGAAGGAGCAUCUAGUCAAAAUUAUAAGUAUCCUAAAGAACUCUCUCCACUAGUUUUGAUAAACUCAUUCAGUAAUGAUGUAACUCUUUUGUAGUGCAGGGAUUAACAACUUCCUCUAUACAGAAAGGUGAGAUGCUAGUUUUUAUUUUCCUGUAGCAGUUUGGGGGGAAAAAAACACCUUAUUUUUAAUAGCACUUAUUAAAAUGCUGUUCACAGUUUUCAUUAUUUACAAUUAGCAAGAGCUUGCUUUUCUCAUAUCUAAGAGUUUGAGAGUAAUUAGUAUGUAAUUAAAAAAAAGUUUCAAAGAAGAAACGAACACAAAAUCUGAUGUGAUAGGGACACCUAUCACAAGGAUAUGAAAUGUUGAUUAUAUACUGUCAAGUAAUAUUAUAUGAUAUUAGUUGGAUAGAUUCUUUAUUCUUAUUUUUAGAAGUUGCAUUUUUUAUUCUUCAAUUUAUUAUUCUAUCAAAUAAUAUUACUUUGAAAUACACCUAGCAAGUUGAGCACGGAGCAUUGAGUCAGUAAGUGUAAAAAGUAAGUGUCUUUUUAAGGAAGCAAAAAUAAAAUUCUCUUAAUGCUGCCUUGUCUUUUUUUCCCUCCCUUUGCUGUAUAGAAAUAUUGUACUCUGAAAAACAGUGUAAGUGGGGAAAAUUUGCAUUUGGGAAUCUGCUUUCAACCCUUUAUGACUGAAUGUUUUUUUUUUACUUGAUUUAAUAAACUAAGUUAUUUAUAAGAA